AUGGCCCCCUCCCAGGAGAUGAGACCAUCUGAGGAGAAAAGCUUUAAACAGGAAGCUGGUGGAGGAGAUACUGGGCAGCCAGAGCUCAGGCACAUGGAGAUGGAGUUUCAGGCUCAAUUCUUGUGUUUCCUGUUACUUUGGAUUCCAGCUGUCAGAGGGGUCAUUGAGCUGAUCCAGACUCCAACCUUCCUGUCAGUGUCUCCAGGAGAAGAGACUGCCAUCAUAUGCAAGGCUAGUCAGAGCCUCCUCCAUACAGAUAACAAAGAUUAUCUUUUCUGGUACCAAAAGAAACUUGGACAGCAUCCUCAGCUCAUCAUUAAACAUGCUACCACCCUCUUGCCUGGGGUCUCCUCCAGAUUCAUUGGUAGUGGGACCCAGAAAGAUUUCACCCUCAUAAUUAGUAGCAUGGAGGCUGAAGAUGUUGCGGAAUAUUAUUGUCUUCAGACUUACCGAUUACCUCCCACAGGACUUCAGCCCUGA